UACAGAGGUCUCAAGCGUUGUUCGGAUUCAUUGGGCGUAAAGGGUGCGUAGGCGGCGCGGUAAGUCGGGUGUGAAAUCUCGGGGCUUAACUCCGAAACUGCAUUCGAUACUGCCGUGCUUGAGGACUGGAGAGGAGACUGGAAUUUACGGUGUAGCGGUGAAAUGCGUAGAGAUCAGCAGGAACACCCGUGGCGAAGGCGGCUUGCUGGCUCGCAACUGACGCUGAGGCGCGAAAGCGUGGGGAGCAAACAGG
rnacentral:rRNA from 1 species